rnacentral:rRNA from 1 species
GACGAACGCUGGCGGCGUGCUUAACACAUGCAAGUCGAACGAUGAACUUGGAGCUUGCUCUGGGGGAUUAGUGGCGAACGGGUGAGUAACACGUGAGUAACCUGCCCUGGACUCUGGGAUAAGCGUUGGAAACGACGUCUAAUACCGGAUAGGACCUCUGACCGCAUGGUCGGGGGUGGAAAGUUUUUUCGGUCUGGGAUGGACUCGCGGCCUAUCAGCUUGUUGGUGAGGUAAUGGCUCACCAAGGCGUCGACGGGUAGCCGGCCUGAGAGGGUGACCGGCCACACUGGGACUGAGACACGGCCCAGACUCCUACGGGAGGCAGCAGUGGGGAAUAUUGCACAAUGGGCGAAAGCCUGAUGCAGCAACGCCGCGUGCGGGAUGACGGCCUUCGGGUUGUAAACCGCUUUUAGUAGGGAAGAAGGGCUUCGGCUUGACGGUACCUGCAGAAAAAGGACCGGCUAACUACGUGCCAGCCGCCGCCGUAACAC